rnacentral:rRNA from 1 species
CAGUAGCCGCGGUAAUACGUAGGUGGCAAGCGUUGUCCGGAAUUAUUGGGCGUAAAGCGCGCGCAGGCGGCCUCUUAAGUCUGAUGUGAAAGCCCCCGGCUCAACCGGGGAGGGCCAUUGGAAACUGGGAGGCUUGAGUAUAGGAGAGAAGAGUGGAAUUCCACGUGUAGCGGUGAAAUGCGUAGAGAUGUGGAGGAACACCAGUGGCGAAGGCGACUCUUUGGCCUAUAACUGACGCUGAGGCGCGAAAGCGUGGGGAGCAAACAGGAUUAGAUACCCGGGUAGUCCCUGUCUCUUAUAC